rnacentral:lncRNA from 1 species
CCAUGCCAGAAAGCUCCACCACAUAAUAGGAGGAACUGCUGCCAAGAAGUGUGAAAUCCCUUACAUCGCAGUAGUUUAUGUGAAAAGAGGUGCGCAGGGUUUCCUCUGCAGCGGUUCUUUCAUAGACGCGAGACACGUCUUGACGGCUGCUCACUGCUUAGAAGGCAAUGAAGUCAAAGCUACCGUUAUAUACGAUUUUCUUGACAUACAUUCUCCAAAAGCGUUUGCAAAAGUAUCAGAAUAUGCUAUACAUCCUGGAUUCUCUAUAAAUAAUUCAACAAUAUUGAACGACAUAGCAAUUGUAACUCUGGAAAAGGCAAUAAAAUUUAGCGAUUGUGUAAAGCCGAUCCGACUGGCAUCUCCCAAUGAAGCGUUUAUUGGUGAUUGUAAGGCGGCUGGAUGGGGCAAGACUAACGGUUUACAAAGUUCCAGCUCAGAUAAGCUUCUAUAUGUCGAUAUCCCAUUGAUUGACGAGAAGAGCUGCAAAGAAAAUGGUGCGAAUGUUAAUGAACAACAUAUCUGUGCUGGAGAAAUGAAGACCAUGGGGAAAACUACUU